GCUCAAUGAUGAUAUAAAGGCUAAUGUGACUCUCCAGCUGGGUUGCACCCUCAGCCCAUUCCAGCAAUACCGGUCUGUAAUCUUGGUGGACAAUGCAGAGCUGUGCGUGUUCACUGUAAGGGCAGGCCAACAGCAAAUCCCCUUCCCUGCAUCCCUGGACAAUGCAUCAUUGGCAUGUGUCAGCUCUGAGCGAGUGCUUCUGAGCUGACUGGGGGCUGUGGGAAUAGGACAGGCAAGCAUCUCCACGGUUUGGGUUGCAGGGUGCAGUCCAUGUUACAGCUGGUGAGAUGUGAGCACAGGUCUUUGGUAAUCUGAUUACU
ensembl:snoRNA small Cajal body-specific RNA 10